AAGAAGACUUUCUGCCUUCAGUCUGACAUCCAGAAGAGGAUGUAUGAGGCGCAUGUCAAUGAGAAGCUUGCCCGGUGUCGCCAAAUUGCAAUGAUGAAUCACCUCAACAUGUCGGUUCAGAGUGGCUCUGAGAAGAGCAUCACACCGGAGGAGCGUUGGAUAUCUUCCCACAGCACCUGGACUGAUGAUGAAGCCCCCCCUCAUCCCUCCACCUCCUUUGCUGCUGAUGAUGAUGAUGAUAACAGGGAGGACUCAGAUCGGGACGAUGAUGAAGAAUCUGAUGAUGAUGAAGAUCCAGAUGCUACCGAGGAGUCAGAGGAG
rnacentral:rRNA from 1 species